rnacentral:rRNA from 1 species
UACGUAGGGGGCAAGCGUUGUCCGGAUUUAUUGGGCGUAAAGAGCGUGUAGGCGGUUUGGUAGGUCCGCUGUGAAAACUCGAGGCUCAACCUCGAGACGCCGGUGGAAACCAUCAGACUAGAGUCCGGAAGAGGAGAGUGGAAUUCCUGGUGUAGCGGUGAAAUGCGUAGAGAUGCGGAGGAACACCGAUGGCGAAGGCAGCCCCCUGGGCUAACACUGACGCUCAGGCACGAAAGCGUGGGGAGCAAACAGG